AAGUCGUAACAAGGUCUUCGUAGGUGAACCUGCGGAGGGAUCAUUAGUGAUUUCCAGGGGAGUCCCUCUUCAUCAGAGAAGGCCCCGUCACUAUACCUUACACUUGUGCAUUGUCCUUUUUUUUAACUCUGUGUAUUCGAAGCCGUCUUGUGAUAAAACCUUUGAUAAACGAAAAAAAAACUUUCAGCAAUGGAUCUCUUGGCUCUC
rnacentral:misc_RNA from 1 species